GAAUGCAAAGCGCGGGGCGGGGCUAAAGAGACAGCCUGUUUUUCCUCAAGUAGGAUCGCGGGACCACAGGUUUAAUUAUAAACGCCAGUCUCUCGCCACGGCGCUCCUCCCCCUCAGUCUCACUGGUCCUGCCGGCCGUUGCGUGAAAGGGGGACUCAGUCGUCACUGGCAGCGGUUGAAUGGAGGCUCUUUGCCCCGCGCCCUCACGGAUCGGCUGUUUUGACUCUCCUGUUGGCCGGCUAUUUGGCACAACAGUAUUUACCAUUGCCUACUCCUAAAGUGAUUGGUAUUGAUCUUGGCACCACCUAUUGUUCUGUUGGGGUGUUUUUUCCUGGCACAGGAAAAGUAAAGGUGAUUCCAGAUGAAAAUGGGCAUAUCAGCAUACCCAGCAUGGUGUCUUUUACUGACAAUGAUGUAUAUGUGGGAUAUGAAAGUGUAGAGCUGGCAGAUUCAAAUCCUCAAAACACAAUAUAUGAUGCCAAAAGAUUCAUAGGCAAGAUUUUUACCCCAGAAGAGUUGGAGGCUGAAAUUGGCAGAUACCCAUUUAAGGUUUUAAACAAAAAUGGAAUGGUUGAGUUUUCUGUGACAAGUAAUGAGACCAUCACGGUGUCCCCAGAAUA
rnacentral:sRNA from 1 species